GUGCUCGCUUCGGCAGCACAUAUACUAAAAUUGGAACGAUACAGAGAUUAGCAUGGCCCCUGCGAAAGGAUGACACACAAAUUCGUGAAGCGUUCCAUAUUUUU
rnacentral:snRNA from 1 species